UGGUGCUAGGGGGGCAGCAGUAGGGAAUCUUCCACAAUGGGCGAAAGCCUGAUGGAGCAACGCCGCGUGGGUGAAGAAGGUCUUCGGAUCGUAAAACCCUGUUGUUAGAGAAGAAAGUGCGUGAGAGUAACUGUUCACGUUUCGACGGUAUCUAACCAGAAAGCCACGGCUAACUACGUGCCAGCAGCCGCGGUAAUACGUAGGUGGCAAGCGUUAUCCGGAUUUAUUGGGCGUAAAGGGAACGCAGGCGGUCUUUUACGUCCGAUGGGAAAGCCUUCGGCUUAACCGGAGUACUGCAUUGGAAA
rnacentral:rRNA from 1 species